rnacentral:rRNA from 1 species
AGCGAACGCUAGCGGCGGGCCUAACACAUGCAAGUCGAGCGCAUACCUUCGGGUAUGAGCGGCGGACGGGUGAGUAACGCGUAGGUCAUCUACCCUUUGGUGGGGAGUAACCCAACGGGAAACGUUAGGGGCGUAAUACCGCACGAGGUCUACGGAUCAAAGACCUUCGGGCGCCAGAGGAUGAGCCUGCGUCGCAUCACCUAGUUGGCGGGGUAACGGGCCCACCAAGGGGACGGAUGCGUAGCUGGUCUGAGAGGAUGAUCAGCCACACUGGGACUGAGACACGGCCCAGACUCCUACGGGAGGCAGCAGUGGGGAAGUUUUGGUACAAUGGGGGGCGAACCCUGAUCCAGCCAUGCCGCGUGAGUGAAGAAGG